rnacentral:rRNA from 1 species
AUUCACGGAGAGUUUGAUCCUGGCUCAGGACGAACGCUGGCGGCGUGCUUAACACAUGCAAGUCGAACGAUGAAC